rnacentral:rRNA from 1 species
AUUGAACGCUGGCGGCAUGCCUUACACAUGCAAGUCGAACGGUAACAGCACUUCGGUGGCUGACGAGUGGCGAACGGGUGAGUAAUACAUCGGAACGUGCCCGAGAGUGGGGGAUAACGCAGCGAAAGCUGUGCUAAUACCGCAUACGAUCUACGGAUGAAAGCAGGGGACCGCAAGGCCUUGCGCUCAUGGAGCGGCCGAUGGCAGAUUAGGUAGUUGGUGGGAUAAAAGCUUACCAAGCCGACGAUCUGUAGCUGGUCUGAGUGGACGACCAGCCACACUGGGACUGAGACACGGCCCAGACUCCUACGGGAGGCAGCAGUGGGGAAUUUUGGACAAUGGGGGAAACCCUGAUCCAGCCAUGCCGCGUGCAGGAUGAAGGCCUGG